CCUACGGGGAGCAGCAGUGGGGAAUAUUGGACAAUGGGCGAAAGCCUGAUCCAGCCAUGCCGCGUGUGUGAAGAAGGCCUUCGGGUUGUAAAGCACUUUCAGUGGGGAAGAAAGCCUUGGGGCUAAUACCCUCGAGGAAGGACAUCACCCACAGAAGAAGCACCGGCUAACUCCGUGCCAGCAGCCGCGGUAAUACGGAGGGUGCGAGCGUUAAUCGGAAUUACUGGGCGUAAAGCGCGCGUAGGCGGUCUGAUAAGCCGGUUGUGAAAGCCCCGGGCUCAACCUGGGAACGGCAUCCGGAACUGUCAGGCUAGAGUGCAGGAGAGGAAGGUAGAAUUCCCGGUGUAGCGGUGAAAUGCGUAGAGAUCGGGAGGAAUACCAGUGGCGAAGGCGGCCUUCUGGACUGACACUGACGCUGAGGUGCGAAAGCGUGGGUAGCAAACAGGAUUAGAUACCCGGGUAGUC
rnacentral:rRNA from 1 species